rnacentral:lncRNA from 1 species
CAUCAGCUACACAAAUUGUUGAUGAUUUAUACAGCUGCUUUAAAUGUAUUCCAAAUUUCAGGGAUAGUUUUUGUUCAAUUUUUAGUUAACUAUAUAUCUUUCUUAGGCAGUCAAUUUUUGCUGGUCCCUAGAGUUGUCACUUAAAGCAAGUUUCCUAUACGCAUGCAGUUUCUCACACCAUCUAUUUAGAAAAUAUAGUACUCUAAAAGCAAGUUAAGUCAUCUGGGUUUUACAUAGGUGUUGUAAAAGAAUGGAGUUGCCCUUUCCUUUGGGGGAAUAAUAAACUUUAAAGUGGCAUGUAGCAAUUAACAAAACAAAUGGCGUGUCCUCUAUACAUUAAUACUAAAACACACACACAUACACACAAAAACAAAAAACUAACCCUAUUAUGAAGUAUGAAAACAAAAUAUCAUAAACUUUUAUACAAUAAAAAUGGUCUUUAAACCAUCAUUCACUGGCAUGUUAUAUUAACACAGCAAUCCAGAUGUACAAUGUUCCCACAUAAAACCAAAACAGUCUAUUUUCUAGAGUGAAGUAAUGCUGAUGAUCAGUUUUAGCCCAGAGCACUGACCAAACAUGGAUAAUUUUCGAAGGAGCCAUGACCGUAAAGAUCUGCCUGAACCUCCAUCAAGCAAAUUGCUGGUGAAGAGAUACAAAAGAAACUCUACUAAAAUUUAGGCAACUGAAGUAGGAAGGCAGGCAAUGGAUGUACUACAUAAACAAAUUUGUGUGAGGAAAAUAUAUAGGCACAGAAAACAUUUUAAAAGAGGUAUUAAAAAUUGGGUAAACUUUUUUUUUUUUAAUACCUCUUUUAAAAUGUCAAUAGCCAGGACAUGGAAACAACCAAAUGUCCAUCGACAGGUGAUUGGAUUCGGAAGAUGUGGUAUAUAUACACAAUGGAAUACUACUCAGCCAUAAAAAAGAAUGACAUAAUGCCAUUUGCAGCAACAUGGAUGGAACUAGAGAAUCUCAUACUGAGUGAAAUGAGCCAGAAAGACAAAGACAAAUACCAUAUGAUAUCACUUAUAACUGGAAUCUAAUAUCCAGCACAAAUGAACAUCUCCACAGAAAAGAAAAUCAUGGACUUGGAAAACAGACUUGUGUCUUCCUGAUGGGAGGGGGAGGGAGUAGGAGGGAUCGGGAGCUUGGGCUUAUCAGACACAACUUAGAAUAGAUUUACAAGGAGAUCCUGCUGAAUAGCAUUGAGAACUAUGUCUAGAUACUCAUGUUGCAACAGAAGAAAGGGUGGGGGGAAAACUGUAAUUGUAAUGUAUACAUGUAAGGAUAACCUGACCCCCUUGCUGUACAGUGGGGGAAAAAAAAAAAAUUGGACUCAAAUAUUCUAAGAUUUAGAGAUAGAGAAUUCUUCUAUCGAAAUUCCUAUGGCUAUUUAGAAUAUCUGCCCCUUAAGACUGUCAAGAAUGAUUAUUAAUUGAUCUGAGUACCUAUGUCCAAGGCUUUCAGUCUGAAGAAACUGUAAGUUGCUGAUUAAUGAAUUUUGGGUCACCGUUUUUUUCUUGAAUAAACUCAUGUAGUAAGAAUCCAAUAUGAAUGAAACACAAGAUACUUGAUCCUUGAUCCAGGUCUACUCUAUGGUGCUCAGCAAGACAUGGAGGAAGGGGCUAGACUUGGACUUUGUCCCAUGACCUUGUGACCCUGACAUUCACAAUCCCUGCUUUAGGAAUUUUAGAAGAUUUUCAGAGGAAUUUUGGAGAGGUUAAUGUGAAGGUGAAAUACAGUCACAUACGAAUGUUUUUAGUAAGCUGAAAAUACUUGUAAAGACUAUUUGGUGACCUUAUUAUUCAUCCUCUUCCUCUGAGGCUACUGGGGAGUGAGCGGGGGAGAAGAAAGAGAAAGUGCAGAUCUCAGGAGUUCCCAUCUUGGUGCAGCAGAAAUGAAUCCGACUAGGAACCAUGAGGUUGCAGUUUGAUCCGUGGCCUCGCUCAGUGGGUAAGGAUCUGGCAUUGCCGUGAGCGGUGGUGCAGGUCGGAUGCGGCUUGGAUCCUGCAUUGCUGUGGCUGUUGUGUAGGCCAGCACCUAUGCUCCAAGUCAACCCCUAGCCUGGGAUCCUCAUUAUGCUGAGAGUACGUCCCUAAAAAGCCAAAAAAAAAAAAAAAAAAAAAAAAAGUGUGGCUCUCUAGCAUGUACACAUGUGGCUAAUCUAUUUUUUACAGAUUUGGAUUUAGGUCCUGAAGCUCAUUUGUAUGACUCCAUACUCCACAUAUUUAUAGUAAGGGUUUAGUUGAAUGUUUCAUUAUUUAUAUCAAAUUUAUAUCUACACAUCUUGAAAGCUCAAGCACCAACAACAAUCAAAACAGAGAAAAACCAAUAAUAACCACCCAUCAUCAAGAACUUGCUCUGUGUCUAAGAUGAUGAUAGGUACCUUCAAUUGUCCUGUAAUUCCCACAAUGACCAGUUUCAUAAAGCGGAAACUAAGACACUGGGGGCUAAUUAACAUUGCCUAAGGGGUUCCAUAUAGAUGCUUGUUUAUCCUACUUUCCACAUUUCUUUUUGUGUGUGAUUAUACACUCUAAUUCCUUAUCAUAUCAGACUAAAGAGCUUUGACCUUUGUAGAUAAAGCUAACAGUAAUUCACCAAAUCACUUUAAAAAAAUUAAGAUGUAGCAAGUAUAAAUUCCCACUCCAAUUUAGGAGUGCAAGGGUAUGAGGAUAGGCUAAUUAUUUUUAUUUUUGAUUAAUUGCAAGGUCCCUAAAAAAUACUUUUACCCAGUAAAAUGCCUGGGAGUGUGAUACUCUUUUCUAGGAUUUUUUUAAAUAGUGCUAAAAUAUACAUAAUAUCAUAGAAUUUGUCAUUUUAAGUAUACAAUUCAGUGGCAUUAAGUACAUUCACAUUGUUGUACAACAGCUCACACAGUGUAUCUCCAGAACUUUUUAAAUCCUAAACUGAAACUCUGUAACCAUUAAAGAGCAACUCCCCAUUUCCUCAUUCCUCCAGUCACUGGUAACCACUGUUCUACUUUCUGUCUUUGUUUAUGUAUUUGUCUAUCCUACAUACCUCAUGCAGUUGGAAUCACAUGAUAUCUGUCUUUCUGUGUCUGGUUUAUUUCACUUAGCAUAAUGUCUUCAAGGAUCAUCCAUCCUAUAGGAUGUAUCAGAAUUCCAUUCCUCUCUUAGACUAUCCCAGCCUAUGUAUAUACCACAUUUUGUUUUCCCACACAUUCAUCACCGAACAUUUGGGUUGCUUCCAACUUUUGGCUAUUAUGAAUAAUGGUGCUGUGAACAUAGGUAAACAAAUACCUGUUCAAGUUCUUGCUUUCAAUUCUUUUGUUUCUAUACCCACAAUGUUGGCUUUUUUUUUUUUUUUCCUUCUACAACAGAACAUAGGUAUUGCAUCUUUGGGAAACAGAAUUCAAUAAUUCCUUGAUCUCUUUAUAUAACAUCCACUUGAAUUUCAGCAUCCAAUAAAUAUAGCCUAAUAAUUUUAUUUCUUAACUAUAUUAGGCUGACCACACUGAAGAGAUUUCACCAGUUUACAUUUGUCUUGUCAUCAUCUUUGCCACUUAGAAUAUUAGUCUUUAAACUCUAUGGUAAUAAAGUUACUUUCAUAAUAAAACUGGUUUAUAACUCAUCUUUUAUAUAAAUUAAAAAGCUGAAAAGAUUUCAAAUUCUCAAAUUUCAGAGAACAGAGAAAUUUUCAGAAAGAAAAUUAAAGUAUGUUAUUUCUCACCUGAUAGCAUAUAUAAAUAAAUAUCUGUUUUAACCUCAAUUUCAGUUAAUAA